rnacentral:rRNA from 1 species
CAGCAGCCGCGGUAAUACGUAAGGUGCAAGCGUUGUUCGGAAUUACUGGGCGUAAAGCGUGCGCAGGCGGUUUUGUAAGACAGGCGUGAAAUCCCCGGGCUCAACCUGGGAAUGGCGCUUGUGACUGCAAAGCUAGAGUGCGGCAGAGGGGGAUGGAAUUCCGCGUGUAGCAGUGAAAUGCGUAGAUAUGCGGAGGAACACCGAUGGCGAAGGCAAUCCCCUGGGCCUGCACUGACGCUCAUGCACGAAAGCGUGGGGAGCAAACAGGAUUAGAUACCCCGGUAGUCCCUGUCUCUUAUAC